rnacentral:rRNA from 1 species
AAACAUCGCCUCCUGCAGUAUAUAGGAGGUCCAGCCUGCCCAGUGACCAAGUUAAACGGCCGCGGUACCCUAACCGUGCGAAGGUAGCGCAAUCACUUGUUCUUUAAAUGAGGACUAGUAUGAAUGGCAUCACGAGGGUUACACUGUCUCCCACCUCUAAUCAGUGAAACUGAUCUCCCCGUGAAGAAGCGGGGAUAAAACUAUAAGACGAGAAGACCCCAUGGAGCUUCAAACCCGGCAUCAACCAUUAACAUUAAUACCACAUUAAAUAAAUGGACCUGACUGCUGGUUUUAGGUUGGGGUGACCGCGGAGCAUAACAAAACCUCCAUGAUGAACGACCCCCUCUCUAAUCCGAGAGCCACCACUCAAAGAAUCAAAAAAUUGACAUUUAUUGACCCAAACUAUUUUGAUCAACGAACCAAGUUACCCUGGGGAUAACAGCGCAAUCCAUUUCAAGAGCCCCUAUCGACAAAUGGGUUUACGACCUCGAUGUUGGAUCAGGGUAUCCUAGUGGUGCAGCCGCUACUAAAGGUUCGUUUGUUCAACGAUUAAAACCCUACGUGAUCUGA